CGCGUAGGCGGCUCGGUAAGUCUGGAGUGAAAGUCCUGCUUUUAAGGUGGGAAUUGCUUUGGAUACUGUCGGGCUUGAGUGCAGGAGAGGUUAGUGGAAUUCCCAGUGUAGCGGUGAAAUGCGUAGAGAUUAGGAGGAACACCAGUGGCGAAGGCGACUUUCUGGACUGUAACUGACACUGAGGCUCGAAAGCCAGGGUAGCAACG
rnacentral:rRNA from 1 species